rnacentral:miRNA from 1 species
AUAACACUAUAAAGAUGAUGAUGAUGAUGAUGAUCAUCAUCAUCAUCAUCAUCAUCAUUAUUA